CAUCACCCUCCUGCCAGGGGUUGAAGUCAGGAAGUAGUUUAUUUUCGCUGAAACUGAAGGGGGAAGUUAAAGAGAAAAAUAGCUGCAACUUGGUCAAUUCAGGAAAACCAGGUACGAAAAAAGAGGAGCAAGUUAAAGGGAAAGCCAGCUCGGAUUUGCUCACCAGUAAAAGGCAAAAAUCCCAGUGUUAUUCAUCUGCAUUUGGUGUGAAAGACAAAAGCUCAACUGGGAUCUGAGGCUUUCUGUGUCAGAGGGCAAGGAGUCAAUGGGGUUAUGAGGAAGUAAGACCACUUGAGACAUCAAAGAAAAGUAGAUCAAAUCACUAGACUCCUCCAAACAGGAGUGGGUGAAGACAAAAAGUGGAGAGAAUCCAGAGGGAAGAGAGGAGUAGGGAAAAUGGUGGAAAGGGAAGGUUUUUGAGAUGGAAGGCAGAGAAUGGGAACAAAAGAAGAAAAAGCUGUUUGUUUCAAAUCAAUAUUCUCCAAGAGGAUGUCUUGUUUCCCCAGGGAUAUUCUGAGGGACUCACAGGAUCAGAGCUGCGACACUUCUAACAUAUGAAUUCUCUCAAUUCUGAUGCCCUUUGACCUCUGCCACACAAUGCCAAGACAAACCCAGACCCCAGGCCCUGGAAACAGAGGAGGGGCAGGACGUGAUAGAGCUUCAGCAACAUGGAGAGGAGAUAGCCGGUCUGGCUAGGAUGGAAGAAAUGUACAUGGAGAAGAAAGACAGAAGAACCAUCACUGAGCACUAAACUAAUCAGCCAUAAUGUGCAGAUUGACUGGCAAGCCUAUCACCACCUUGAUAACAGAUGACAUUAAAGAGAAAGUAUCAAUGUGAGGAUUAAAUGGGAUGAAAAAUAAAACAUCUGUCGGAGUGCCUGGAAUAUGAGCCUAGUAGAGCACCCAGCACACAGUAGGCUCUUAAUACAUGCUUGGGAUGAUUGAGGCAUUUUCUUCCACCAUAUUCCAUGAUCUUCUAGCCCUGGGGGUGCAGAGAGAUUACCUGGCCAAGAAGACUAGGGGUAAAGUACUUUUCUUACCUG
rnacentral:lncRNA from 10 species